rnacentral:sRNA from 1 species
GUUUAGUGUCUUUAAAUAUCAGCUGUAUUUGUACGAGGCUAGGAAACUAGGUGUAUGCGAGCUUUUAGCGAGCUAUUACACCUGUUUUGAGCCGCGUACAAAUACAACUGAUAUUUAAAGACACUAA